UUGGAAGUACGCGAUUGUAUUGCACACUUUAUGUUUAAGAAAGGUGAUUCUAGGAACAACAUCUUCAUAAUAAUUACCUUACUUCGAUGGCGCCGGUGGGAUCGCGUUCGCAGAGCGCUUGAGAAAAUAUAGAUUUAAAAAUGUAUUUAGGACAGGUGAUACCUUUCUCAACAACACCAACAAUUCUGGGACACGGUUACAACACCGAUGAACAAAGAAGAAAUGAAAAUCCGUUUAUUUUAAUAAUAAAUAUAAGGCUUAUUGUUAUCAUAGUAUUAUAGACUAGUUGUUUAAGAGUUGCACAAAUUUGUAUGACACAUAGCUGUAAGUUUAAAUAUAAGUGAAAAAGAUAUAUGUAUUUUCAAUGUAAAACUGGCACAUAUCAGAAAGUUUAAAUAAA